rnacentral:rRNA from 1 species
GACAGAGGGUGCAAACGUUGUUCGGAAUUACUGGGCGUAAAGCGCGUGUAGGCGGCUAUGCAAGUCGGAUGUGAAAUCCCUCGGCCUAACCGAGGAACUGCGUCCGAUACUGCGGUGCUUGAGGAUCAGAGGGGUGCAUGGAAUUUCCGGUGGAGCGGUGAAAUGCGUUGAUAUCGGAAGGAACUCCGGCGGCGAAAGCGAUGCACUGGCUGAUUUCUGACGCUGAGGUGCGAAAGCCAGGGGAGCAAACGGG